rnacentral:rRNA from 1 species
GUGGGGAAUAUUGGACAAUGGGCGCAAGCCUGAUCCAGCCAUGCCGCGUGAGUGAUGAAGGCCCUAGGGUUGUAAAGCUCUUUCACCGAUGAAGAUAAUGACGGUAGUCGGAGAAGAAGCCCCGGCUAACUUCGUGCCAGCAGCCGCGGUAAUACGAAGGGGGCUAGCGUUGUUCGGAAUUACUGGGCGUAAAGCGCACGUAGGCGGGUAUUUAAGUCAGGGGUGAAAUCCCGGAGCUCAACUCCGGAACUGCCUUUGAUACUGGGUACCUAGAGUAUGGAAGAGGUAAGUGGAAUUCCGAGUGUAGAGGUGAAAUUCGUAGAUAUUCGGAGGAACACCAGUGGCGAAGGCGGCUUACUGGUCCAUUACUGACGCUGAGGUGCGAAAGCGUGGGGAGCAAACAGGAUUAGAAACCCCGGUAGUCC